AUCAUCAUAGCUAUCGCUGUUGAUCUCGUUGAUCAGUCUAAGAUAUGCCUCCUCCUCCUCUAUCUGUGCACUAUCUGUCGCUACCUCUCGCCUCCCUCAUCGAAACCCUAACCUCCUCCUCGAAUCGCUCUCCUCCUCCUCCGACCUCACUACCCUCCAAUGUCCAUAACUUCUAAUUGUACACUCACUUCAUCCACACAAACCUUCCCGAUCAAAAUCCUAAUCAUACCUGAUAAGCUGCUCUUCCUCUAGAGGAAUUUGUAUA
rnacentral:lncRNA from 1 species